rnacentral:sRNA from 6 species
AAGAUUCGAACCUGCCGCAGGUUCGGGUCUCAUGCAGUGAGACAACGGAGCCGUUUACGGCGACGGCCCGAAGGGCGAGCGAAGCGAGUCAUCCUGCACGACCCACCA